rnacentral:rRNA from 1 species
AAUUACNGGUACGGGGAUUAGGGUUCGAUUCCGGAGAGGGAGCCUGAGAAACGGCUACCACAUCCAAGGAAGGCAGCAGGCGCGCAAAUUACCCAAUCCCGACACGGGGAGGUAGUGACAAUAAAUAACAAUACGGGGCUCAUUUGGGUCUCGUAAUUGGAAUGAGUACAAUUUAAAUCUCUUAACGAGGAACAAUUGGAGGGCAAGUCUGGUGCCAGCAGCCGCGGUAAUUCCAGCUCCAAUAGCGUAUAUUAAAGUUGUUGCAGUUAAAAAGCUCGUAGUUGAACUUCGGGGUCUACCCAUUGGUCAGGCUUAAUUGUCUGYACUGGUGAGAUGGAUCUCUACCUUCUGAGGAACUUUCAUGCCAUUUAUUUGGUGUGGUUGGAAAUCAGGACUGUUACUUUGAAAAAAUUAGAGUGUUUAAAGCAGACUAUCGUCUGAAUACAUUAGCAUGGAAUAAUGAAAUAGGACGGACUGAUUCUAUUUCGUUGGUUUCUAGGAUCACCGUAAUGAUUAAUAGGGAUAGUUGGGGGCAUUAGUAUUCAAUUGUCAGAGGUGAAAUUCUUGGAUUUAUUGAAGACUAACUACUGCGAAAGCAUUUGCCAAGGAUGUUUUCAUUAAUCAAGAACGAAAGUUAGGGGAUCGAAGACGAUCAGAUACCGUCGUAGUCUUAACCAUAAACUAUGCCGACUAGGGAUCGGACGAAGUUAAUUUUAUAAUGACGCGUUCGGCACCUUACGGGAAACCAAANUUUUNNGGGUCNC